CCAGGCUCAGAGAAUGUCUAUUGUGAUUGGUGGAGCCCAUCCACCAAUCGGGUAACUGUUGGGAGGGGCUUCGCCCUGCCCCUGCUCCGGGUGAGAGGAAAAAAUAUAGAAAAAGCCUCAGACCUAGUUCAAGACUGCACUCCUCUCAUCUGGCAGAACUUUGCGGGGUGGAACCUCCAAAGAGAAUAAAAGGAGCUGUAUGCCCAGCAUGCAGCAGAUGCGUCGAAGGACAAAGAAGCAAGCAGAGCUAUGAAGAGCUGGGGAGAGCUGCCCAGCAGGAGUUUCCAGUUGCCCCAAAGACUCCCUUUACUGGAAAGACUCAGCAAUUGUCCCUGACUCCAGACAGUACAUGGAAUCCAGACCCUGGGAGCUGCUUGAGGUAGCCCAGGUCUGCAACCCCACUUGAAAUGGUUCAGUUAAGGAAUGAAGAAAAUAUUUCAGAUAGUACUGGCAAGAUGACUGCCUGAUCUCUGUCUAAUUCCUCAAGCACCAUUUCAAGUGAAGCUGCAAGUCUUGGGAUCACAAAAUUUCUCCCAUAAAACAUAAAAUAAAUUCCUGGAUAAAGCUGAAACAACUAAAGAUGAUCCCUUUGUUCUAAAAGAACAGGAAAUUCCACAAUUGUUGAGGAGAAUGCAUUUCCAGGAUAAUUUAAUUCAAGAUAUCCUUAACCACCUUCAUUCUGAGAGUAAAAUCCUUACCCCGUUGAAGUCAAAGGGAUCUUUACCAUUGAUUUAAUUAAGACCAGGAUUUUAAGCUUAAUGGUUAGGGAAAUGGGGAAGAGAGGUGACACAUGAAGCCUUUGGCAAACUCAGGAAGAGACCUUAUAUCUCCUGACUUAUCUGUAUGCCUUUACCAUGCAUCCCCUUUUUCUUUUCACAAAUGUAGAGCCUCUGUGUGAGUUACGAUAUUGACCAUAAAAUCCAUCCUGGAUUUCAGGCUACUCAUUUGAUUUUAAAAUCUCUUUUGGGACAACGCUGUGAAAUGGAGAUACCAUCUGUCAUCCUGUCUGUGACUGGCCCUGGAAAUGGAAUACCAUCAUUGUGUUGCUGUCACAAUCACAGUGCAUAAAAUGUUGAAGAGAUAAUUGCUUUGAAUGCCACUGACUUCUGUUUUGAAGGUAACAGAUUCCAAAACUAAAUUAGAAUCUGUCAAAAAGCAAAGUGACUCCGCCAGAUUAUUGUAUUGAUGUGUUAAGUGAUGUAACCAUUGUAAAUAGUGAUGCGGUGGCGGAGUGUAUCAGCAAUUUGACCCAACAUGUGAGCGAUGCGUGAUCAGGGCGUGAUCACCUGUGGUCUAGCCAAUCAAAAACCACCUAAUGGGCAUGGCUGGCUGGCCAGCAUGUCCAUGGGUUCCAGAAUGUACCAUCAGGGGAGAUUUCUGAUUGGCCGAAAAAGUUAUAUAGGGGACCGCACGCCUCGGUGCGUGGUCCCCAGGCUCUGACUCUCAGGACGGAUUGAUCACCCGUCUUGGGGCCUGGUCAGACCCCUAGGUCUAUAGCAGAAGCUGCUCCGGUCGCUCUGAGCAUUAUAGUUUACUGCAUCGCCAAAUCCGGAACGCCCUGUACUUUGUCCCAACCAGACAUCGUACUUGUAUACUGCGGUCUUCACCUGCCACCCACCGCUUGUCCCUUGUUGCUGUAUAUAGUUCAUCGCCCCCAAGUUAUAUCACCCUUCAAGUUGUUUCGACAGUUCUGUAAGUAAAUAUCAAAUUUUAUUUCACACCUCAUUGUCU